UGCAGCCCCAAUCGGGCGGUAAA
rnacentral:snRNA from 1 species